rnacentral:piRNA from 1 species
UUAAUUAUUUUAUUUUCCGAG